rnacentral:lncRNA from 1 species
AAAACAUCGACGACCAUUGGCUGCGUUGGCUUCCGACCCCGGGUCUCUAACCGAGCUCCAGGUCUGGAACCUUGAAACACUUUUCCUGGGAAAAGGGGUGGCGCUAUCCCAUAGAGCGUCAACCUUAAACACAAACAGCACACACGCACCCACGCAGGCUGGCGGCGUCCUCCCUGCUGGGAUGGGCGUCGGGCCCAGUGCUUGGCACACGGUCCCCAGGAGCUUCCCCCGAAGGUUCCCCCGAAGCCAGCCACAGCUGCUCAGCUCGGCGCGCGGAGCCCGCGGUGGUACCGAGUCCGCACAAACCCGGACCCGCUCCAAGUGAGCCGCGUUGUCGUCAUUCAUUCGCAGUGUCCGGAGCGUCCUUCCAGCGGGGAGCUGGGCUUCCCUAGUGGCGCCUGCGGCCCCGACACGGCGCGUUAAGGCGCGGCGACUUCGGGAGCUCGAGCAGGUAGAGACGGGAGGGGCUCUGGAGCUCCAGUCGGCGCCGCGGGAGCAGCAGCGCCGGAGCCCAGCUUGGCCCUGACCGCGGGGCCGAAUCCGCUCGGGUGGCCCUUAGCCCUGCCUGGCGCUGAGCCGGAUCCCGGGACUGAGCUAUACCACUUCCUCCUCCUCCCGCUCCCUUCCUCCUCCUCUUCCUCCUCCUCCCG